CGGGGACAUAGUAUGAAGACAGAGGCACUUAUUGCAGAGGAAUCAGGUUCUGUUCACAGGGCCAGGGCAGAAGAUUCCUGAAGGCCGGGGUUUGUCCUCUUGUUUACUGCCGGAUCCCAGCUGCCUGGCACCUAGCAGGUAAAGCCCAUCAAGUUAGCAGACUAUUGGUGGUUACAAGUGUGGGCUCUGAUGCUACCUUGCCUGGGUGUGAAUGCUGGCUCG